GAAUAUUGGACAAUGGGGGGAACCCUGAUCCAGCCAUGCCGCGUGUGUGAAGAAGGCCUUUUGGUUGUAAAGCACUUUAAGCGAGGAGGAGGCUACUUAGAGUAAUACUCGAGGAUAGUGGACGUUACGCGCAGAAUAAGCACCGGCUAACUCUGUGCCCGCAGCCGCGGGAAUACAGAGGGUGCAAGCGUUAAUCGGAUUGACUGGGCGUAAAGCGCGCGUAGGUGGACAAUUAAGUGAAAUGUGAAAUCCCCGAGCUUAACUUGGGAAUGGCAUUCGAUACUGGUUGGCUAGAGUAUGGGAGAGGAUGGUAGAAUUCCAGGUGUAGCGGUGAAAUGCGUAGAGAUCUGGAGGAAUACCGAUGGCGAAGGCAGCCAUCUGGCCUAAUACUGACACUGAGGUGCGAAAGCAUGGGGAGCAAACA
rnacentral:rRNA from 1 species